ACGGGUGAGUAACACGUAUCCAACCUGCCGUCUACUCUUGGACAGCCUUCUGAAAGGAAAGGAUAAAUACAAGAUGGCAUCAUGAGUCCGCAUGUUCACAUGAUUAAAGGUAUUCCGGUAGACGAUGGGGAUGCGUUCCAUUAGAUAGUAGGCGGGGUAACGGCCCACCUAGUCUUCGAUGGAUAGGGGUUCUGAGAGGAAGGUCCCCCACAUUGGAACUGAGACACGGUCCAA
rnacentral:rRNA from 1 species